CUGCGGAAGGAUCAUUACCGAGUGUAGGGUUCCUAGCGAGCCCAACCUCCCACCCGUGUUUACUGUACCUUAGUUGCUUCGGCGGGCCCGCCAUUCAUGGCCGCCGGGGGCUCUCAGCCCCGGGCCCGCGCCCGCCGGAGACACCACGAACUCUGUCUGAUCUAGUGAAGUCUGAGUUGAUUGUAUCGCAAUCAGUUAAAACUUUCAACAAUGGAUCUCUUGGUUCCGGCAUCGAUGAAGAACGCAGCGAAAUGCGAUAACUAGUGUGAAUUGCAGAAUUCCGUGAAUCAUCGAGUCUUUGAACGCACAUUGCGCCCCCUGGUAUUCCGGGGGGCAUGCCUGUCCGAGCGUCAUUGCUGCCCAUCAAGCACGGCUUGUGUGUUGGGUCGUCGUCCCCUCUCCGGGGGGGACGGGCCCCAAAGGCAGCGGCGGCACCGCGUCCGAUCCUCGAGCGUAUGGGGCUUUGUCACCCGCUCUGUAGGCCCGGCCGGCGCUUGCCGAACGCAAAUCAAUCUUUUUCCAGGUUGACCUCGGAUCAGGUAGGGAUACCCGCUGAACUUAAGCAUAUCAAUAAGCGGAG
rnacentral:rRNA from 1 species